rnacentral:siRNA from 1 species
CGGACAAGACUUUCUCUCUCUC